AGUGAACGCUGGCGGUAGGCCUAACACAUGCAAGUCGAACGGCAGCACAGUAAGAGCUUGCUCUUACGGGUGGCGAGUGGCGGACGGGUGAGGAAUACAUCGGAAUCUACUUUUUCGUGGGGGAUAACGUAGGGAAACUUACGCUAAUACCGCAUACGACCUACGGGUGAAAGCAGGGGAUCUUCGGACCUUGCGCGAUUGAAUGAGCCGAUGGCGGAUUAGCUAGUUGGCGGGGUAAUGGCCCACCAAGGCGAUGAUGGGUAGCUGGUCUGAGAGGGUGACCGGCCACAUUGGGACUGAGAUACGGCCCAGACUGCUACGGGAGGAAGCAGUGGGGAAUAUUGCACAAUGGGCGGAAGCCGGAUGCAGCAACGCAGCGUGCGGGAUGACGGCCUUCGGGUUGUAAACAGCUUUCGCCUGUGACGAAGCGUGAGUGACGGUAAUGGGUAAAGAAGCACCGGCUAACUACGUG
rnacentral:rRNA from 1 species